GACGAACGCUGGCGGCGUGCUUAACACAUGCGAGUCGAACGGAAAGGCCCCUUUGGGGGUACUCGAGUGGCGAACGGGUGAGUAACACGUGAGUAACCUGCCCUUGACUUCGGGAUAACUUCAGGAAACUGGGGCUAAUACCGGAUAGGAAUCCUUGCUGCAUGGUGGGGGUUGGAAAGCUUCGGCGGUUUUGGAUGGACUCGCGGCUUAUCAGCUUGUUGGUGGGGUAGUGGCUUACCAAGGCUUUGACGGGUAGCCGGCCUGAGAGGGCGACCGGCCACAUUGGGACUGAGAUACGGCCCAGACUCCUACGGGAGGCAGCAGUGGGGAAUAUUGCACAAUGGGCGGAAGCCUGAUGCAGCAACGCCGCGUACGGGAUGACGGCCUUCGGGUUGUAAACCGCUUUCAGCAGGGGCGAAGCUUGUGGUGACGGUACCUGCAGAAGAAGCACCGGCUAACUACGUG
rnacentral:rRNA from 1 species